GGCAGCCGAGGGAGGGAGGCGAGGAGGGGGCGAAAGGGAGGCACGAGGUAGCGGCGGAGUUGUUCGUGUGCAGGGAGCAAGGAGAAUGCCGAAGAGAGGAGGCGGACCAGGAUGUUUCGCGCGUGUCGCUUUCGCGUGAUAUACGAAGGAGACGAAGAGGACGUGGAAGAAGAAGAAGAAGAGAAAGAGGAGAUGAAAAGAAGGUGGUGGACGUGUCGAAGAGAAGGAGACAAGAAGAAACGUGGAAACAAGAAAGCGAGGAGGGCCCCGAUGAUAGAGACAACUCUCCACCGCGGUGGAACGAGCGCGAAGGAGCAUGCAGAGGAAGAGACUGCGAAGGAAGGCUGCAGAAGGCGGGUUGGCGAGUAGUGGAGCGGGCCGGUGGGGCGGAGAGGGGAAGAGGAGGUGAGUCGAGAUGAUGCAGUUGUGCGUUUGCAAGGAAGGCGGAAGGAGGAACCGCGGAGGGAACCGGUCCCGGUCACUGGGCCACCAGCCGGCCGUCGAACCCGCCACACUGCCCCCUACCACCCCCUACCCCACCUUUUCCUCGCCAUCUUUCUGUCCCUCGCUCUUCCUCGCGUCUCGCUCGCGGCCUGUCUCUGUCUCGCUUCCUUCGGUCUCCCUGCGCACGAAUCCCUCUGCCGCCUCCUCCUCCCACUCCUCCUCUCCCUCCUCCGCUCCCUUAGGAAAGCGUGCCUCCAUCGCGAAACCUUUCUCAAUUCGUCGACGAAAAUGACGAAGCACAAAAUUGACCACGAGGAUGAAAAUGAAGAAACGAAGA